rnacentral:rRNA from 1 species
AGAGUGUGGUAGGGGCAGAGGGAAUUCCCGGUGUAGCGGUGAAAUGCGUAGAUAUCGGGAAGAACACCAGUGGCGAAGGCGCUCUGCUGGGCCAUAACUGACGCUCAUGGACGAAAGCCAGGGGAGCGAAAGGGAUUAGAUACCCCUGUAGUCCUGGCCGUAAACGAUGAACACUAGGUGUCGGGGGAAUCGACCCCCUCGGUGUCGUAGCCAACGCGUUAAGUGUUCCGCCUGGGGAGUACGCACGCAAGUGUGAAACUCAAAGGAAUUGACGGGGGCCCGCACAAGCGGUGGAGUAUGUGGUUUAAUUCGAUGCAACGCGAAGAACCUUACCAGGGUUUGACAUCCUGCGAAUCUCCUGGAAACGGGAGAGUGCCUUCGGGAACGCAGUGACAGGUGGUGCAUGGCUGUCGUCAGCUCGUGUCGUGAGAUGUUGGGUUAAGUCCCGCAACGAGCGCAACCCACGUCUUUAGUUGCCAGCAUUCAGUUGGGCACUCUAGAGAGACCGCCGGUGAUAAACCGGAGGAAGGUGUGGAUGACGUCAAGUCAUCAUGCCCCUUACAUCCUGGGCUACACACGUACUACAAUGCUACGGACAAAGGGCAGCAAACUCGCGAGAGCUAGCAAAUCCCAUAAACCGUGGCUCAGUUCAGAUCGUAGGCUGCAACUCGCCUACGUGAAGGAGGAAUCGCUAGUAAUCGCAGGUCAGCAUACUGCGGUGAAUACGUUCCCGGGCCUUGUACACACCGCCCGUCACACCAUGGAAGUUGGCCACGCCCGAAGCCGUUACUCCAACCCUUGUGGAGGAGGACGUCGAAGGUGGGGCUGAU